GAUGAACGCUAGCGGCAGGCUUAAUACAUGCAAGUCGAGGGGCAGCAUGAUUGUAGCAAUACAAUUGAUGGCGACCGGCAAACGGGUGCGGAACACGUACACAACCUUCCAAUAAGUGGGGAAUAGCCCAGAGAAAUUUGGAUUAAUACCCCGUAACAUAACGAUGUGGCAUCACAUUGUUAUUAUAGAUUUUUCGCUUAUUGAUGGGUGUGCGGCUGAUUAGAUAGUUGGCGGGGUAACGGCCCACCAAGUCUACGAUCAGUAGCUGAUGUGAGAGCAUGAUCAGCCACACGUGAACUGAGACACGGGCCCGACUCCUACGGGAGGCAGCAGUAAGGAAUAUUGGACAAUGGACGCAAGUCUGAUCCAGCCAUGCCGCGUGAAGGAUUAAGGUCCUCUGGAUUGUAAACUUCUUUUAUAAGGGACGAAAAAAGGCUUUUCUAAGUCGUCUGACGGUACCUUAUGAAUAAGCACCGGCUAACUCCGUGCCAGCCGCCGCCGUAAGAC
rnacentral:rRNA from 1 species